AGGGACGGCCAUACCACCUUAGGCACACGCCCGAUCUCGUCUGAUCUCGGAAGCUAAGCAGGGUCGGGCCUGGUUAGUACUUGGAUGGGUGACCGCCUGGGAAUACCAGGUGCUGUAAGCA
ensembl:rRNA 5S_rRNA 5S ribosomal RNA